AUUGAACGCUGGCGGCAUGCCUAACACAUGCAAGUCGAACGGUAACAGGCCCUUCGGGUGUUGACGAGUGGCGGAUGGGUGAGUAAUACUUAGGAAUCUACCCUCGUAGUGGGGGACGAACCCGGGGAAACGUACGGGCGUAAUACCGCAUACGCUCUACGGAGGAAAGACGGGGGACCGGCAAGGCCUCGCGCUAUUGGAUGAGCCUAA
rnacentral:rRNA from 1 species